rfam:Citrus clementina cultivar Clemenules unplaced genomic scaffold scaffold_2, whole genome shotgun sequence.
AAGAGAAGAAGCUGUCAGCUUAGCCAAGGAGACUGCCUGGCAACCAAACAAAAGGCUUCAAAGCUUGAAACCUAAUUAUAUUGCAAGCCGCAGGCAAGUCAUCCUUGGCUAACAAAAAUUACUCUUAUCU